AUUGAACGCUGGCGGCAGGCUUAACACAUGCAAGUCGACCGAGUGGCGGACGGGUGAGUAAUGCCUGGGAAUCUGGCUUAUGGAGGGGGAUAACUACUGGAAACUGUCGCUAAUACCGCGUACCAUCGGAUGAGCCCACGUGGGAUUAGGUAGUUGGUGGGGUAAUGGCCUACCAAGGCGACGAUCCCUAGCUGGUCUGAGAGGAUGACCAGCCACACCGGAACGGAGACACGGCCCGGACUCCUACGGGAGGCAGCAGUGGGGAAUAGUGCGCAAUGGGGGAAACCUGACGCAGCCAUGCCGCGUGAAUGAAGAAGGCCGUCGGGUUGUAAAGUUCUUUCGGUGACGAGGCGUUAAUCACAGAAGAAGCACCGGCUAACUCCGUGCCAGCAGCCGCGGUAAUUC
rnacentral:rRNA from 1 species